UAAAAUAAAUCUAAAGACUCACUUAAAUAAACAAACUUAAAUAUAAAUAUGACAAAUAUAAAUACAAAAAUCUCUCUCCUUUUUAUAUACAAUAAAUCAAAGUAAAAUAAAACAAGGGUUUUAAAUAUGGAUAUGGGGUGCUACUAAAAAAAAUAAAAAAAUAAAAAGGUCAAAGACCCUCAAGACUCAAUUUCAACACUAACCACAAUCAUAAUAAUAAUAAAAUAAUAAUAAUA
rnacentral:lncRNA from 1 species